GUUGGGUCCGAGGCGCACACCGACUUCGGUAAGGUCUUUGGGACAAUUAAAACACCAGUUAAUCACAUGGUCCUUACUACUAUUUAAACAUAUAUUAUUCGAUUAAUUACUUGAAUACCUUUUUAUCAUUCAGUGGAUAAGAUUCACCGAUCACAGACUAGCAGGAUGGGUUUACUUACCAGAGAACAGGUCCUCGAAAGAAGUACCACCAAAGAAUUCUUUAAAUACUUCCUCAGGGUCUCUAAACAUAAAGGUACCAGUGAAGUGUGCAUCGAAGUCAUCCUUAUGUCGCCUUUUACCACCGGGCAUUUGAAGUCCUUCCUUUCCAUAUUGAUCGUAAACCCUUCUUUUCUUUUCUGAAAAGCAUAUAAAACAAUAAGCGAUUAUUGCUAAUUGUAAAAUAAAAAUUGAAGGCAGA